AUAAGCACUUGUACUGUGAAACUGCGAAUGGCUCAUUAAAUCAGUUAUCGUUUAUUUGAUUGUACCUUACUACAUGGAUACCUGUGGUAAUUCUAGAGCUAAUACAUGCGAAAGAUCCCGACUUCACGGAAGGGAUGUAUUUAUUAGACUAAAAACCAAUGCGGGCCUCGGUCCGCUUGCUUGGUGAUUCAUGAUAACUUUUCGAAUCGCAUGGCCUUGCGCCGGCGAUGUUUCAUUCAAAUUUCUGCCCUAUCAACUGUCGAUGGUAAGGUAGUGGCUUACCAUGGUUGCAACGGGUGACGGAGAAUUAGGGUUCGAUUCCGGAGAGGGAGCCUGAGAAACGGCUACCACAUCUAAGGAAGGCAGCAGGCACGAAAAUUACCCAAUCCCGAUUCGGGGAGGUAGUGACAAGAAAUAACGGUACGGGGCCUUUAUAGGUCUCGCAAUCGGAAUGAGAACAAUUUAAAUCCUUUAACGAGGAUCAAUUGGAGGGCAAGUCUGGUGCCAGCAGCCGCGGUAAUUCCAGCUCCAAUAGCGUAUAUUAAAGUUGUUGCAGUUAAAAAGCUCGUAGUUGGAUUUCGGAGCGGGCCCGUUGGUCCACCGCAAAGUGAGCUACUGGCGGGUCUGUUCUUCUUCGCAAAGACUGCAGGUGCACUUCGCUGUGUGCUUGUCGGAUUUGUGACGUUUACUUUGAAAAAAUUAGAGUGUUCAAAGCAGGCUUUCGCUUGAAUACAUGAGCAUGGAAUAAUGGAAUAGGACUUUGGUUCUAUUUUGUUGGUUUCUAGGACCGAAGUAAUGAUUAAGAGGGACAAACGGGGGCAUCUGUAUUUCGUUGUCAGAGGUGAAAUUCUUGGAUUUGCGAAAGACAAACAACUGCGAAAGCACUUGCCAAGAGUGUUUUCAUUAAUCAAGAACGAAAGUUAGAGGAUCGAAGACGAUCAGAUACCGUCCUAGUUCUAACCAUAAACGAUGUCGACUAGGGAUCGGCGGGCGUUAUUUUAUGACCCCGUCGGCACCUUACGGGAAACCAAAGUUUUUGGAUUCCGGGGGUA
rnacentral:rRNA from 1 species